AGUAACUAAAUUACAUUAAAAGUAACUUUUUAGUUACUUUCAGCAGCUGCUAACACUCCGCCACCUGUGAAAAUUACUUUGAGCUUUGCCAAAACUUAAUUGCAAGCUAUUUUAUAAUAGUAACAUCAACAAUGUGUGCAUUAUGAAUUU